rnacentral:lncRNA from 1 species
UUUUGAAGCUUGUAAAACAGCAAGUAAUUCCUGUUCCCCGGUGGUGUAACGGGUUUCAGCACCCGAAAACUCCCUACUCGUAAAAGCCACAGGACGGCAACAGAACAGCACCGGAUCCGUAAAGAGAAGCGUCAGUCACUACCUCAACACGGAAUGGCAACGAGUAUUCGGGAAAAUGCAGGAUAAGGUCGUCAGCGACUGAGGAGGGUAGGAUCCGGGCUGGAAU